rnacentral:rRNA from 1 species
GACGAACGCUGGCGGCGUGCUUAACACAUGCAAGUCGAACGGAAAGGCCCUGCUUUUGUGGGGUGCUCGAGUGGCGAACGGGUGAGUAACACGUGAGUAACCUGCCCUUGACUUUGGGAUAACUUCAGGAAACUGGGGCUAAUACCGGAUAGGAGCUCCUGCUGCAUGGGGGGGGUUGGAAAGUUUCGGCGGUUGGGGAUGGACUCGCGGCUUAUCAGCUUGUUGGUGGGGUAGUGGCUUACCAAGGCUUUGACGGGUAGCCGGCCUGAGAGGGUGACCGGCCACAUUGGGACUGAGAUACGGCCCAGACUCCUACGGGAGGCAGCAGUGGGGAAUAUUGCACAAUGGGCGGAAGCCUGAUGCAGCAACGCCGCGUGCGGGAUGACGGCCUUCGGGUUGUAAACCGCUUUCGCCUGUGACGAAGCGUGAGUGACGGUAAUGGGUAAAGAAGCACCGGCUAACUACGUGCCAGCCGCCGCAGUAA